rnacentral:rRNA from 1 species
AGUGAACGCUGGCGGUAGGCCUAACACAUGCAAGUCGAACGGCAGCACAGGAGAGCUUGCUCUCUAGGUGGCGAGUGGCGGACGGGUGAGGAAUACAUCGGAAUCUGCCCAGUCGUGGGGGAUAACGUAGGGAAACUUACGCUAGUACCGCAUACGACCUUCGGGUGAAAGAGGGGGAUCGCAAGACCUCUCGCGAUUGGAUGAGCCGAUGUCGGAUUAGCUAGUUAGCGGGGUAAUGGCCCACCAAGGCGACGAUCCGUAGCUGGUCUGAGAGGAUGAUCAGCCACACUGGAACUGAGACACGGUCCAGACUCCUACGGGAGGCAGCAGUGGGGAAUAUUGGACAAUGGGCGCAAGCCUGAUCCAGCCAUACCGCGUGGGUGAAGAAGGCCUUCGGGUUGUAAAGCCCUUUUGUUGGGAAAGAAAUCUUUCAGGCUAAUACCCUGGGAGGAUGACGGUACCCAAAGAAUAAGCACCGGCUAACUUCGUG